AGGUAGUUGGUGAGGUAAAGGCUCACCAAGCCUUCGAUCUGUAGCUGGUCUGAGAGGACGACCAGCCACACUGGGACUGAGACACGGCCCAGACUCCUACGGGAGGCAGCAGUGGGGAAUUUUGGACAAUGGGCGCAAGCCUGAUCCAGCCAUGCCGCGUGCAGGAUGAAGGCCUUCGGGUUGUAAACUGCUUUUGUACGGAACGAAACGGCCUUUUCUAAUAAAGAGGGCUAAUGACGGUACCGUAAGAAUAAGCACCGGCUAACUACGUGCCAGCAGCAGCGGUAAUACGUAGGGUGCAAGCGUUAAUCGGAAUUACUGGGCGUAAAGCGUGCGCAGGCGGUGAUGUAAGACAGUUGUGAAAUCCCCGGGCUCAACCUGGGAACUGCAUCUGUGACUGCAUCGCUGGAGUGCGGCAGAGGGGGAUGGAAUUCCGCGUGUAGCAGUGAAAUGCGUAGAUAUGCGGAGGAACACCGAUGGCGAAGGCAAUCCCCUGGGCCUGCACUGACGCUCAUGCACGAAAGCGUGGGGAGCAAACAAGAUUAGAUACCCUGGUAGUCCACGCCCUAAACGAUGUCAACUGGUUGUUGGGUCUUCACUGACUCAGUAACGAAGCUAACGCGUGAAGUUGACCGCCUGGGGAGUACGGCCGCAAGGUUGAAACUCAAAGGAAUUGACGGGGACCCGCACAAGCGGUGGAUGAUGCGGUUUAAUUCGAUGCAACGCGAAAAACCUUACCCACCUUUGACAUGUACGGAAUUUGCCAGAGAUGGCUUAGUGCUCGAAAGAGAACCGUAACACAGGUGCUGCAUGGCUGUUGUCAGCUCGUGUCGUGAGAUGUUGGGUUAAGUCCCGCAACGAGCGCAACCCUUGUCAUUAGUUGCUACAUUCAGUUGGGCACUCUAGUGAGACUGCCGGUGACAAACCGGAGGAAGGUGGGGAUGACGUCAAGUCCUCAUGGCCCUUAUAGGUGGGGCUACACACGUCAUACAAUGGCUGGUACAAAGGGUUGCCAACCCGCGAGGGGGAGCUAAUCCCAUAAAACCAGUCGUAGUCCGGAUCGCAGUCUGCAACUCGACUGCGUGAAGUCGGAAUCGCUAGUAAUCGUGGAUCAGAAUGUCACGGUGAAUACGUUCCCGGGUCUUGUACACACCGCCCGUCACACCAUGGGAGCGGGUUCUGCCAGAAGUAGUUAGCCUAACCGCAAGGAGGGCGAUUACCACGGCAGGGUUCGUGACUGGGGUGAAGUCGUAACAAGGUAGCCGUACUAGUACGCUGUCACAG
rnacentral:rRNA from 1 species